rnacentral:rRNA from 1 species
CCUACGGGUGGCUGCAGUGAGGAAUAUUGGUCAAUGGACGAGAGUCUGAACCAGCCAAGUAGCGUGAAGGAUGACUGCCCUAUGGGUUGUAAACCUCUUUUAUAUGGGAAUAAAACAUGGUAUGUAUAGCCUCAUGUCUGUACCAUAUGAAUAAGCAUCGGCUAACUCCGUGCCAGCAGCCGCGGUAAUACGGAGGAUGCGAGCGUUAUCCGGAUUUAUUGGGUUUAAAGGGUGCGUAGGUGGUUUGUUAAGUAAGUGGUAAAAGUUUGGGGCUUAACCUUGAAUUGCCAUUAAUACUGGCAGUCUUGAGUACAGACGAGGUAGGCGGAAUAAGUGAAGUAGCGGUGAAAUGCUUAGAUAUCACGUAGAACUCCGAUAGCGAAGGCAGCUCACCGGACUGCGACUGACGCUGAUGCACGAGAGUGUGGGUAUCAAACAGGAUUAGAUACCCGUGUAGUC